rnacentral:lncRNA from 1 species
AUGCCUGGAGACCUGGACGUCCUGCCUAUGAAGGACGAGGAUGUGCUCAAGUUCCUUGCGGUAGGAGCCCACGCAGGCGGCACCACCCUUGGCUUCCAGAUGGAGCAGUAUAUCCACAAAAGGACGGACCAGCGAUGGCAUCUCUGUCAUAAAUCUGAAGGGACCUGGGAGAAGCUGCUGCUGGCAGCUCGUGCCAUUGUUGCUGUUGAACCCUGCUGAGGUCCCUGUCUUGCUCCAGGAACACUGGCCGGCAGGCUGUGCUGAAGCUCACUGCUGCCACCAGAGCCACUCCAGCUGCUGGCCGCUUCUCUCCUGGAACCUUCACUCGCCAGACCCAGGCAGCCUUCCGGGAGCCAUGUCUGCUGGUCCCAGGCGACCACCAGCCUCUCAGAGAGGCGUCUUGGCUAGCCCACCUCCCAUUGCUCUGUGGAACACAGAUUCUCCUCUGUGCUGUGUGGAAGUCGCCAUCCCGUGCAACAAGGGAGCUCACUCAGUGGGCCUGAAGGGGUGGCUGCUGGCUCAGGGAGUUCUGGGCAUGCGUGACACCAUCCCCCAGGAACACCCAUGGGAGUCCACGCCUGACCUCUGCUUCUGCAGAGACCCUGAAGAGAUUGAGGUGGAAGAGCAGCCUGCUGCUGAUGCAGCUGUGGCCAAGGGGGAGUUUCAGGGGGAGGGUGGAGACCCAGCCCCUGCACGCACUGCUGCUCAGCCUGAGGCUGCAGACUGCUCUGAAGGUGCAGGUACCCCCUGUGCCUAUUCAGCCGUCCCUACUGCAGACUGGAGCACUCAGCCUGCCAGGCAAGCCUGUUCUGCAGCUCCCAAUGCUCAGGCCCCUGAAUGAGGAGGAUCAACCACUGAGCGGUC